rnacentral:rRNA from 1 species
UACGUAGGUGGCAAGCGUUGUCCGGAUUUACUGGGCGUAAAGAGCGCGCAGGCGGUCGUUCAAGUCGCGUGUGAAAGCCCCCGGCUCAACUGGGGAGGGUCACGCGAUACUGAUCGACUCGAAGGCAGGAGAGGGUAGUGGAAUUCCCGGUGUAGUGGUGAAAUGCGUAGAUAUUAGGAAGAACACCGGUGGCGAAGGCGGCCCACUGGUCCGGUACUGACGCUGAGGUGCGAAAGCGUGGGGAGCAAACAGG